rnacentral:rRNA from 1 species
AUUGAACGCUGGCGGAAUGCUUUACACAUGCAAGUCGAACGGUAGAGGGGGCAACCCCUUGAGAGUGGCGAACGGGUGAGUAAUAUAUCGGAACGUGCCCAGUCGUGGGGAUAACGUAGCGAAAGUUACGCUAAUACCGCAUACGAUCUAAGGAUGAAGGCGGGGGAUCGCAAGACCUCGCGCGAUUGGAGCGGCCGAUAUCAGAUUAGGUAGUUGGUGAGGUAAAGGCUCACCAAGCCAACGAUCUGUAGCUGGUCUGAGAGGACGACCAGCCACACUGGAACUGAGACACGGUCCAGACUCCUACGGGAGGCAGCAGUGGGGAAUUUUGGACAAUGGACGCAAGUCUGAUCCAGCCAUUCCGCGUGCAGGAUGAAGGCCCUCGGGUUGUAAACUGCUUUUGUACGGAACGAAAAAGGUUUCUCGUUAAUACGAGGAGCUCAUGACGGUACCGUAAGAAUAAGCACCGGCUAACUACGUGCCAGCAGCCGCGGUAAAGUGACUAC